rnacentral:rRNA from 1 species
GACGAACGCUGGCGGCGUGCUUAACACAUGCAAGUCGAACGAAGUGGCGAACGGGUGAGUAACGCGUAAUUAACCUGCCCUUCAGAGGGGGACAACAGUUGGAAACGACUGCUAAUACCGCAUACUGAAGGAGGGGAUUGCGUCGGAUUAGCUAGUUGGAGGGGUAACGGCCCACCAAGGCGAGGAGCAGUAGCCGGUCUGUGAGGAGGAACGGCCACAAUGGGAAUGGGAAACGGCCCAGAAUCCUACGGGGAGGAGCAGGGGGGAAACUUCCGAAAUGGACGAAAGUCUGACUGAGGAAAGCCGCGUGAGGUAUGAAGGCCUUCGGGUUGUAAAGCUCUGUUAAGCGGGACGCGGUACCGGAAUAGAAAGCCACGGCUAACUACGUGCCAGCCGCCGCGGUAAUUC